ensembl:lncRNA
UUAAAUGUUGAGGACUAAAGAACUUUAAGGCAUACUUGAGCUUCAGGGCAUGAACAGAUGGUCGGACAUCCUCCUUCAGGAUCUUCAGGUAGAGAACAGAAUUCAUGGUUCCAUCAGUUACGGCAAAUUGUCCAAGUCCUGAAGCAGCAAAGCGGUCCCAGCCCAUCACAUCAUCACCACCAUGUUCAACUGCUGCUGCCAGGGUAAAGGGAGAGCGUGCUGGCACUUGACAGCUUUUCUCGGAGAACCUGAAGGAGACAAAAUAACACAGUGAGAGAGAAAUACACCAGGUUAGAAGAAAAUCCAUCCCAAGGUUUCUACUUGUUUGCCUGCAUGCCACCAAGGUCUAACCCAGCCAGGAGAAAACAUCAGCAGUCUGAGACAACAAGUCUGUUUGUCUCAGAUCUUUA